rnacentral:rRNA from 1 species
UGAGGAAUCUUGGACAAUGGGCGAAAGCCUGAUCCAGCUAGAUCGCGUGGGUGAAGAAGACUGUCUUGGUUGUAAAGCCCUUUACUUAAACAGAGAUUAUGACAAAGUUUAAGAAAAAAGUCCCGGCCAAUUUCGUGCCAGCAGCCGCGGUAAUACGAGAGGGGCAAGCGUUAUUCGGAAUGAUUGGGCGUAAAGCGCACGUAGGCUGUUUAGAAAAUCAUAGAUAAAAAACUCAAAGCUUCACUUUGAAACUUAUCUUUUAUGAUUCCUAAACUUGAGUGAGUGAGAGGAGAAUGGAAUUCCUGGCGUAGAGGUAAAAUUUGUUGAUAUCAGGAGGAACACCAAAAGCGAAGGCAAUUCUCUGGCACUUUACUGACGUUGAGGUGCGACAGCGUGGGGA